rnacentral:rRNA from 1 species
AGUGAACGCUGGCGGUAGGCCUAGCACAUGCAAGUCGAACGGCAGCACAGUAAGAGCUUGCUCUUACGGGUGGCGAGUGGCGGACGGGUGAGGAAUACAUCGGAAUCUACUUUUUCGUGGGGGAUAACGUAGGGAAACUUACGCUAAUACCGCAUACGACCUACGGGUGAAAGCAGGGGAUCUUCGGACCUUGCGCGAUUGAAUGAGCCGAUGUCGGAUUAGCUAGUUGGCGGGGUAAAGGCCCACCAAGGCGACGAUCCGUAGCUGGUCUGAGAGGAUGAUCAGCCACACUGGAACUGAGACACGGUCCAGACUCCUACGGAAGGCAGCAGUGGGGAAUAUUGGACAAUGGGCGCAAGCCUGAUCCAGCCAUACCGCGUGGGUGAAGAAGGCCUUCGGGUUGUAAAGCCCUUUUGUUGGGAAAGAAAAGCAGCAGGUUAAUACCCCGCUGUUCUGACGGUACCCAAAGAAUAAGCACCGGCUAACUUCGUG